rnacentral:rRNA from 1 species
UACAGAGGUCUCAAGCGUUGUUCGGAUUCAUUGGGCGUAAAGAGUGUGUAGGCGGUGCUCUAAGUUCGUUGUGAAAUCUCCCGGCUUAACUGGGAGGGUGCGGCGGAAACUGGAGUGCUUGAGCGCGGGAGAGGAAAGCGGAAUUCCUGGUGUAGCGGUGAAAUGCGUAGAUAUCAGGAGGAACACCUGUGGUGUAGACGCUUUCUGGACCGUAGCUGACGCUGAGACACGAAAGCGUGGGUAGCAAACAGG